AAAAUACAGACCUAUCCGCUAGCAGUGACAGUUUAUCUGACAACAAUAGCUCUUCUAAGGAGAAAACCAGCAUGCUGGGGGGAAUAUUGAGACGGUCACCCAAACCGGGUCAUGAGCGUAGGCCUUCACAGGAUCAUUUGGAUACAGAGCUGUCAGCCAGCAAUGACAGUCUGCCAGACAAUAACAACUCUAAGG